rnacentral:rRNA from 1 species
UAGGGAAUCUUCGGCAAUGGACGAAAGUCUGACCGAGCAACGCCGCGUGAGUGAAGAAGGUUUUCGGAUCGUAAAACUCUGUUGGUAGAGAAGAACGUUGGUGAGAGUGGAAAGCUCAUCAAGUGACGGUAACUACCCAGAAAGGGACGGCUAACUACAUGCCAG